UACGUAGGGUGCGAGCGUUGUCCGGAAUUAUUGGGCGUAAAGAGCUCGUAGGCGGUGUGUCGCGUCGGCCGUGAAAACCUGCAGCUUAACUGUGGGCUUGCGGUCGAUACGGGCAUCACUGGAGUUCGGCAGGGGAGACUGGAAUUCCUGGUGUAGCGGUGAAAUGCGCAGAUAUCAGGAGGAACACCCGGUGGCGAAGGCAAUCCCCCUGGGCCUGUACUGACGCUCAUGCACGAAAGCGUGGGGAGCAAACAGG
rnacentral:rRNA from 1 species